CUUUGGGCACAGCAGAUGGGCUGGCACACUCCACCUGUGUGCUGUGGCCAUGGGGAAGAUAAGUCAAGGUCAGAAGUGUGGUCACAGGGGAAAUUUGACCUGCUUGGCAUUGCUGACUUCUGGUGAAGACGCUUGUUUGCUUUUUCCCCUUGCUGUAGGUAUAGAAGAACAUGGGAGAGAAUUCUGUUGUCACACACCCCAGCAAAAUCUUUCUUUUCUUGUAUCAAUAUGACUGCAACCUGAACCACAUUUUCCUGUGUGUGUUGAUGAGAAGGUAAAGAAAUACAGAAAAGUUUGAUUGAAAUUGAUAUAUCUCAUCACUUCUGAUAGCACUACUAUUUUACACAUAUAAGCAGAAAUAGGGGUAUUCCUGUGUAGUAAUCUGAAACAUGCCAAAUUUGCUGUACUGUCUCUUGCUGACCCCAGUAGGGUUUGAAUCAUGCCCAUAGAGAGGUUUCUCUUCCUUACUGGGACCACUUACUCCAUUAGAACAGGAUUGCCUGUGGACUACUUUUAUUUUCAUCAUGCCACAGAGCCCAUCUCUCUUGCUGGAGAGGCAGUUGUUAUGGGAACAGAUGUUACUCAUCAGACAGACCUAUGGACAGAGGCAUAUUAAGGUAAUAUGACCUCCUAUUAUGAGAAGUACCAGAUCUUGCUCUUGAGCAAACAGAGCUCUCUUCUGCAAGCCCAUGGGUAUCUGUGUGAGCAGCACAAUAUGGCACUGACUCCCAUGGGCUACCAUAAUUUAUCCUUGUGUAUGAAAUACAUUCUUGCUGAACAGAGAAUAGCCAGAAAAGGCAAGAAAUUUCUCCUGCGACCUGAAAAACACUCGAGUUCAUUUUCUGAAAUAUAUUUUAAAAUAUAUGUCUUCAUGAAAUGUAAACACUAUAAUCACUGUGUGGAUAAUGUACAAGGCUGAGAAAUAUAAAUAUAAUAUAAAAUAAUUGUUUGAUCUUUGGUAAGUGGUUGAGAAACAUUUCCAGUGCAGUAGUUUUUCCUCUCUAAAGAGUUUCUUCACAGUGCUGAAAAUCAUUCCCUGCCUUUCUGUUCACCAUAGGUGUUGGGGGUAGAUUGGAGAGAUUAGUUGGGCUACACAAUAUGUGCACUUUUGGCAUUGUUUCAUGCCAGGUCUUUUUGCAGUGGGUGGUAGACAGGUCAGGUAGAAGCAGGGCACUGGUGGAUUGACCUGAACCCCUGUCACCACCCACAAGGAGAAACUCAGCCAAGGCUGGAGUAGAUUUUCACAGAGCAUUCUGGUAGCCAUGGUCUAUUUCUCAAUAUUUCAUGUAUUGUUCCUGCAAACCAUUUCAUCGGAAAAUGGAACUAUUCUGAGGGUAAGAAAAUGAAAUUAUGUAAUUGAGGGCAUUCAUCCUAGAAAUAGGAGGGCAAGGGGAAGUGGUAAGGACUGCAUAUCAACCUUAGGAUCACAAUCUUGCAACAGAACUUAUUUAUCAAUUACAUUCCGUUGAUUCUGUUUUCCAUUUGCCCUGACAGGAUCUGAUCCCUUCAGAAAUCAUCACAAUUUUUCACUGAGAACAAAUCACUAACAUCUGUCAAAAAAGAGACUAUGGAAAUGUUUACACUGAAAAAAAAAGACUGAUAUGCCAUGCCUGUAAAAUUUUGUUAAACAAAUCCUUCCUUUGUGUUGUAUAUAUUGCCAAGUUAAAUGUGGUAAGGAUUUAAUGGCUUCUUUCAAUCCUCUGAAACUGUAAAAAGGUCAAGAGAUGAAAGGAAGCAAACAAUCUACACCUGAAAUUCGUAUUGGUGAUUUAAAUGGGAAUACCCAGUAAUCUAUGUGCAUAACUACUCUGAGUAUUUUUCAGCUUUCAACACUCAAACAAGAAUAUACUUUUCUAACAUUUAUUUGUCUUUGAUCCAGUUCCUCUCUCCAAUAUGAACCUAUGCAAAAUGGAUUUGAUUUUUGCCGUAUCAAGAAUAAAAUUAUAGUUUUCCCUAAAUUGAAUUUGAUCCUGAACUGCACCGGCUUUGAUUCUAAGUUCAUUUCUGGCACCAUUUAAUACCAUACUGUGAAAACAGAGGAAAACAAAAACCCCAAGCCUCUGACAAAUACACUAUGCACAUUUGUCAGAUUUUAUUAUAGACUUCAAGAGAGAUGAUAGACCUUGUCUGGGCUCUGGAUAAAAAGAAAAGACAUUUCAGAAAAUAUACCGAAUAUGGGAAGACUAAAAUCUUCACUGUAUGUGCUACCUCCUGCCAUCUAUCUGAAACCAAAACCAUCUCUGCAAAAUGCUACUGCUUCUAUGUGGUCCAUUCUUCUUAUUUGCAUAUGUUUGUUUUUCUCAAUCAACACAUGUCCUACAAAAAAUGAUACUCUUCAUGACUGCCUGGACCUACUCCUCCCCAUCUCAUCGUUAAGAGUAUCUAAGGGCAAAAUAAACAGUUCAUGCACAGAUCUUGAAACGGUGUCACAGAGCAUUAACAAAAGCAAGCUAACACUGUGCCACUAACAACUGAAAUAAAGCAAUUAUAAUAAUUGUAAAAGCAGCAGGGAAUUGAGUGUGAGUAGAUGACUGUCCCAGCAUCAGCAUUACUGCCUCAGUGCUAUUGCUAGGACCUGAGGAUUUGUACAGUUCUUAAACACAUCUUGCUCACUGCUUUUCCCUUGAUGAAUCCUUGAUGAAUAUAAUGCCAUGAGCCUAGCUAGCUCAUAUUCAAAAUUCCACAAUGAAAAGUAUAGGCAGUAUAUACAAAAUUCAAUCUGUCUUGUUUCAGAUAAGAUAAAGCAGCAGUUUUUCCUCAAAAUUUUGGAUAAUUAUGUAUUUCUACUAAGUUGGUACUGUUGUUUUUACUAUUGUGCCAAUAGUCUCUUACUAGUAUGAUUACUCUUAUUUUUCUGUAUGUGUAGCUUUGGUUGUAGAUAUAGCUUUGUUUUUCAGGACCUGGCUAAUCAAGAGAGUAUUUGUAUCCCAUCUUUGGGCAGCUGACAUCACUCCAACUUAAACUCUGCUUCUGUAUGCACUGUGCAAACCUGAAAAAUAUAUUUAAUAGGCAUAGUAUUACCUAACUGAUUUUGAUGCAAAAAAAAAAAAACAAAAAAAACCCAGCAACGAUAUUUGGCUCCUGAAUGAGUAGAGAUGCCUUCACUCACGUGUCUCCUUAUCCUUGGUAGGAUUUUAUAUAAAUAAACCUUGGUUACAAAGAAAGCAAAUAACCAAGACUUGUGGCAAAGAUAUGGCAAGACUUUCCUCUGUGUUGCGGUGGAACCAUAACAAUGUACACACAUAUGAUACAGUCAUCCAUAUAGUAAGAGGAAUGGAAUAUAGUAGUAAUUCCCUCUAAGUCCCACCUACAAUACUCUGCAUCUCAGCAUGGAAGAAUAUUUACAUAUUAGAGGGAAUCUGCAGAAUUCCAAUUGAAACAGACAGAGUCUUUGCCCUCUGCACUUCAGAGACAGUAAACAGUUCAGGUCCCUUCAGCUUUGGAAAGCUAAAAAGGGUAGAUUAGCCUUUUGUUUUCCUUUACAGGUAAGCUGCAGAGUUGGGGAAUGGAAAUGUGGUUGCUGCAAUCAAUAUAAUUUUAAAACUCACAAAUGAGAGAAUGAAAUCAUUGUGUAUGAAAUGUAAAAGGAGACAGUUAUUAAGGGGAAAGGAAGAGGCUACUGUUGUUAUCCUCAGGUGCUCAACAUUGACGGGUUUCUGUGGCAUUUCACCUGACAUUUACACCAGCUGAAAGUACAGGAUCCUGGAAAAUGAGGCUGACACCUCAGUGCAUCCAAAUGCAUGUCAGUCCUUCUCCUGUGUGCAUGUCCAAGGUGGAAUAAGGAAUGAAAACAUAAAUGAAGAGAAAGAACAGGAAAACUUAUUGGGAGCAUUAUUAAUUGCCAAGCUCCUUUAGAGAGUUGGUUAGGGAAGCAAAAGUCCCUGGAGAGCUACCAGAUGUCAUGUCAACUGAGGAUGGGACAGAUAUUGUAGGAAUCUCACAAUAUGUACUGUUAGUCUGUGCAAAAAGACAAAAUAUUGCUGUGUUACAAUGAUCCAUGACUAAAAGUUAUUUUUAAUACCUCUCUGUACUAUAUCCAUGUAUAGCCUAAUCUACAUCCUCAGUGCACACUGCCAAUUAACUACAGUACUGGGGUUCCCGAGUUAAAGACAGUAUGCAAAGUGUUUCUGCAGCUGCAGACAGCAACAGCUCUUUAACACAAAUUUUAAAUAUAAGGAGUACAGAACUGAAACUGUGAAAUACUCCUCAGAGACUUAGAUGUGCAAUACCUAUUAUAAUAAAUGGUGAAUCAGCCAAGAGCAAUGCAAGUUAAGAGAUCUUAGAGAGAUUUUAGACAUCUCAAUUUAUCAGAUGGAACAAUGUAUAGAUUUCAGAAAAUGUUACCCAACUUUUGAGGUGGGGUAUAUUUUAUGAAUAAAGCAUCUAUGAAAGCCAUGGCUCCUUCAUCCUCCAUUUAGAAACAUCCAACAAGACUACACCCUGCAGUGUCCUUGUAAUAAGAUGUCACCACUCGUCUCUUUAAUCACUGACUAAGGAAGGAAAAGAAUCAAAGCAUAACAAAAAAGCCUAAAUCUAAGAAAUAUGCCAAUGUACCAUGUAUCCUAUUAGCCAACUCUGACUAUGGAAAUCGUGCAAUAACUCUGCUGGUAGUUGGCAUCUUAUGACACUGAGUCCCUCCUCUCUUGUUCUCCUAGAUUCUGUAUAUUGAAGUUCCAAAGAAAUUGCAGGGUUUAGCUUGAAAUAUGAAUAAAAUAGUGUAGAAUAUGUACUACACACAGACGGAAAGAAAUCUCUGACAUGGAUGGUCUGUGCAACAAAUAUUAGAUAUCAACAAGUAUCUGCAAAUAUUAGAAAAAAGUUACAUUUUUUUAAUGUGACCUAUCCACUUUCCUCAUGUAAUUUGUAUCUUUUGAAGCAAGUGCCUUAGUAUGCUACCUAGUGAAUAAAGAGGACCAUGCAUCUUCUGAAGCAUCAUACCGUUCUCUGUGGAAGGCUGAACUAAAUGGAUAGGGUCUCCACCUAGAGGCACACAAAGGCAGUUGCCACUCAAAGCAGUCGUUCCCAGCAGUAGUCCUCAAAAACGUGCUGGAGAUUUGCUUGCAAAUGAAGCAUCUCUGAGGUGGAGGAGCCCCACAUUUUAUUAUAAUUUACAUUUUAUUACAAUUUUUGUGUUAUUAUAAUUAAGGAGAAUAGCUAUGAUUUGAUUGAAUAGGGAAAUCGUUAGAUUUUGAUUUAUUAGUAGGAAACAGGCUGACUACUGAGGUAUAAUUAGACUGCGAUAUUCACUGCACAGACAUGUGUGCUCAGGUAUGAGUAAGCAUUUUUAUUUAGCCAUCACUUUGGUUAUGAUUCAACUCAAAUUAUUGUUGCAGAGUAAGUUGUAAAAGGGUCAGAAGAGUGACUAGUGUCAUCAAAAGGCAACAGAACUAGGGCCUAGCUCACACCUCACACACAUUUCAUCAGUGGACCUAUGCUCGUUUCUAUUUGCAGAGGCUUGCUGGAAAAAGGAGAUCAAAACAACAAAUUUCCGCAAGUCAGUUCCUUUCCCCACCCUCUACUGUGCCAUUGUAGUUGGAAGUUGGCUGAAGUUCGUCACACAAGUCAGCCUGAACAAGAUAAGUUUUAUCUGACUCCAACUAUCUUCUUCAAGCACUUUGUUAAAAUAUCCACCCCAGAACUCAGUCUAAAAUUAUAUGUAUCUGCUGCCCUGAUAAAUGUUCCCUCAGCAGAACAGUUAUUUAAGCUUCUGUUAGGAUUGAAUUGAAGAUCAUUAGAUUCCAGGAUAUAUUAUCUAAAAGAACAGAGCCAUGAUAGCAGGCUUAAGAAAUCCAUGUCUAAUUCUGUCUCUGAUGCAUAGCUCCAGAUAUUGGUCUCAACACACUGCAGUUACACUUAACAAGAACACAAAAAGAAAUUGACAGGAAGAAAAGAGCUGUGUGAUCCCAAUCCACAAGCUAUCACUGGGCUUCUCAAAGAACAGGAAUGAAAUAUUCCUUCUCACAGGAAUGAAAUGCCUCUUGGGCACCUGAAACAGAAAGGACCUCUUGGGGUCCUGCUGAAACAGAAAGAAAUGUACUCAGCAACAGGAAGUCUUGUGGAAGACCACACUAACCAAAUAGGCUCCUGUGCUCCAUCCACUGAAGUUCAAAGAUUUUAUCUUAUCUCUCUUGGCGUUAACAUGGUUUGUCACUAUCUUUGGGGCCAACACACAUCUGCUGGCCUCUAGCAUUCUGUAGUACUUGCUAGCUCUGAAGAUGAAUAAAGCAUGUGAUAUGAGCCUCUGCA